rnacentral:lncRNA from 1 species
AAAGAUCAUGUCUCAAUCAAACAUGGAGUUUGCACAGACAACCAACACACAAACUCACAAAUAAUAUGAACAAAGUGCUAUAUCUUGCGCAACGCACGGAUUUACUCUAGUUUACUCUAAAAAAAAGAAUGCCAUUAGAGAUGCUCUAAGGAAUGCUAUCGGAAAUGUAAACAUGUCAUCAAUUUAUAUAUUUUAUAUAAUGAAAUAAAUUAGUCUAACCCAAUAAAUUUUCACGUUUAUCAAUUAUUCGGAAAAAAAUUACUUCAUUU